rnacentral:rRNA from 1 species
AGUGAACGCUGGCGGUAGGCCUAACACAUGCAAGUCGAACGGCAGCACAGUAAGAGCUUGCUCUUACGGGUGGCGAGUGGCGGACGGGUUAGGAAUACAUCGGAAUCUACUUUUUCGUGGGGGAUAACGUAGGGAAACUUACGCUAAUACCUCAUACGACCUACGGGUGAAAGCAGGGGAUCUUCUGACCUUGCGCGAUUGAAUGAGCCGAUGUCGGAUUAGCUAGUUGGCGGGGUAAAGGCCCACCAAGGCGACGAUCCGUAGCUGGUCUGAGAGGAUGAUCAGCCACACUGGAACUGAGACACGGUCCAGACUCCUACGGGAGGCAGCAGUGGGGAAUAUUGGACAAUGGGCGCAAGCCUGAUCCAGCAAUACCGCGUGAGUGAAGAAGGCCUUCGGGUUGUAAAGCCCUUUUGUUAGGAAAGAAAAGCAGGAGGUUAAUACCCCGCGGUAAUGACGGUACCCAAAGAAUAAGCACCGGCUAACUUCGUG